UACGAAGGGGGCUAGCGUUGUUCGGAAUCACUGGGCGUAAAGCGCACGUAGGCGGAUCCUUAAGUCAGGGGUGAAAUCCCGAGGCUCAACCUCGGAACUGCCUUUGAUACUGGGGAUCUCGAGUCCGGGAGAGGUGAGUGGAAUUGCGAGUGUAGAGGUGAAAUUCGUAGAUAUUCGGAAGAACACCAGUGGCGAAGGCGACUCACUGGACACGUAUUGACGCUGAGGUGCGAAAGCGUGGGGAGCAAACAGG
rnacentral:rRNA from 1 species